GUCACACUCUGGCCUUUUGGCUGAGAUGAUAAUAGUAUCUGUUCUUAUCAGUUUAAUAUCUGAUACGUCCUCUAUUCCAAGGAUAAUAUAUUAAAUGCGCUUUUGGAGCUUUGAGUUGGAGUAACAGCUUGUUAUUUCCACUCUGCAUCAACCUGGUAUUGCGGUUCAUUUACAAAUGGUGCGCUCUCC